ACCGAAAUAGCUCAGUUGGGAGUGCAUUAGACUAUAAAUCGAAAAAUUCUGCUUCGAUCCCGGGUUCCGGCA
rnacentral:tRNA from 1 species